GCAACAAAUUGGGUUACCAGUUUCACAGUGUUCAAAACUUUUCCAGAAGAUUCCUUUUGUUAUAUAAAUUGUUGGAUCAUCAUCUGGAGCAUCCCACAUGUGUUAUAUUAGAAUAAACCAGAGAGAGAGAACGGAUCCAUAUUCAGCUCUUUUUGGAUGAUUCACUGUACAAUAGCCCCGUUUAGAUGUUAUGACACCUUCUUGAAUGUGGGAGCAAGCAAAAGCCUAAACGUCUUUCCCUCUGUCUUUACUUCUCCUCACAUGGAUAGUGAAAUGCCUCAAGAGAAGUUCCUGUUUACACAAAAGUUUUCCACACAAACAAUACAUAUAGUUUUUAGACAUCUUGCACACACGGAGAAGCACCACAUGAACAGGAACAUUUCUUUUUCAAAUAUGUCACUUUCUGGCAGGAAACAUGUUUGGAGAGGGUGUGAUAUUUGUGCAUGAAGCAUGGUCCAGUUUCAUGUGUUAAAAAAGGCAGAUAAUUUUUGCAAGGAUGGGAACUUUAUUUCUAUGGUUUCUCAACUGUAAUAUGAAGGCAAUGACAGUUUGCUGCUUCCUGUAAUCUUUUUUUAUGUUGAUGGAGCUCAUCUUAUCAAGGCUGGUAAUUCUGAUCCUGAGGCAGAAUAGAUACAUUUGUGAUUUAAACUAUUAUUGGUUGUAAACCAUCAUGUAAUGGUGAGGAGGGAGAAUGUAAUGAGCUCAUUACGUUUUAUAUCAUAUUUGAAAAGUAGAUUGCACUUCUCUUACUUGUUUCACCAGUGUCUUUUUUGUGUAUGAAUAUCUACUGCGUUGGAGUUCUAGAAUUUGAGAUGGAAAUCUUCACAGAAAACCUUUGCUUUGCUUCCCAGAAAAGCCACACAUAUAAAGGGACUUUUUGUACUUUAAUGGGUAAAAAUUUGGAACUUAACAACAAUGCCUUAAUUAUAUUAACAGAGAGAGAAGAGAAGAAUGCAUGGAGACAUCAAUCUUCUGUUGACAGAAGGCAUCUGCAGAUGGAAUUCAAGGUGCCAGGGGUGAAAAGGAACUUAAUUGGAUUCAAAUCUUCAAGAAUGUUGUGUGUUAUUCCAGCACUGGAUAUAAGGGAAAGCCAAAACUCACAGAUU